rnacentral:lncRNA from 1 species
CAGAGUGCUUCACGAUCCCAUCGUCGCCAAUCCAGUACCACUCGUAUGUAGUUCUUCUACAUACGAGCCUGCAAGAAUCAAGCACACCAUUUCAGUGGCCCGGAGGUCUUACGAAACUCUCAAAUCCCCAUACCUUUGCAUCUGGCUCCCCAGGAGAAUCAAAGCCAGAGCUCUUGAAAGUCGUGUUUUUCUUCCAGUGUCGGCGAGCUUGUGGGAGGGAGCCUUUUCCCGCCUCGCGCACUAGCAUGCCGCCAUCUGGCCAUCAUCGCUAUGAAACGCGUUUUGAUAGUCGCAUACAACGACGGGCCCUUGGAAGAGCUGCUCUGCGAGAUACCUGGAAUGAGAAGAUCACCAGAAAACGUUGAUUUUGGUUUCCCUCUAACACACCUUUGGUGCUUGCUCCAUUGCACAGGAGUUUCGAAGGGAAAGUCUUUCACGCAUAAGAUCACGCAAAGGAAAGAAUAAAUCUCGAUUGCUUGUGUGUAAGUUAUCCUUCCGAUUUGCAGGAAUGAGGAGCGGACGCCUUGUCAAGGAUGCGGUCGGUGAGCACAGAUCUCUGGGAGGAAAUCGUCUCCAGCGGCCUCGCUAAUCUCGUCAUGGAAAUGUAUGGAAAGUGCGGCUGCUGAUCGUGGCGUGAGCUUGCCGUAGACGUUGAGCAGCACUGUGGCGAUGGAGAUUCUGCGGUACUUGCUUGUGUGCCUCAGCUUUCAGCUUCCCAAGAUCCUGGGCGAAAGCUUGCAGGAGCUGGCUGGCAGAACCUCGUGGGAGACCAGUGGGGCAAAUGCGAGCUCAUUAUCUUAGGCCAGCGGCGACGAAUACCGCGUGGAUCUGAGGCGUUGAAUGAAGAAGCAUGAGUGCCACCGCUUCUCGCAUCGGGCAAAUGCCGCCGUCGCAAUGUUCCACGAGAAAACAUCUCAAUCUUCCAUCUUGUGGAAGGCUCCCAAGGCGUCUGCCGCUCUUCCAGGGGGUCCAAUUCAAGGACGCCGUCACCUGGAUGUCGGAGUUGGCACUCUGUCAAAGGGAUCAAAAGAGCAGUGAAAGGACACAAAGGCAGUGUAAAGAGAGAAAAGAGCUGCAAACCUGUUUGCGCGACAGGUGGAUUGACCAUAUACAUCAGAAAUACAAGAGUCCCAGCACCAAGCCGAGGUACGCAUAUACUUCCCUCGCAUUCAUGUGUUAACUUCCAUGAACACUACACAGGGUAGGAGCAGGCAAGACAAGAAGGCCAAAGACGAGGCACUCUUGCGUUUGGAGGCCGAGAAACUAGCCAGGGAGAAAGCCGAAGCGGCGGCCAAGCAAAGAGUGGAAAGGAUACAGAGGAAGUCCGAGGCGGACUUGCGGGCUCACAGGGACGAGAUACACAAGCUGGAGCAGGAAGUUUGCAAGCUCAAGCUCAGUGCUAGGGAGCUAAGCUUGUCAAUGGAUCUGAGCGAGCAGGACGCGGUGGCGAUGGUGUGGGGCUGACUGACUGGUUUGGCUUUCUUUGUAUAAUAGGGGACUAUGGAGUUAGCUUUGCAAACGAGUGCUAUGGUUGCUUCCUCGACGUUCUGGGAAGAGCGGGGCGUUUGGAAAUCGCCGAGGAUAUGAUUUGCAACAUGCCGUUCGAGCCGAGUGCCUGCAAAACGCACAGCGACAUCGCUCGAGCACUGCGGGUGACAAACUACAUCAACCAUUUCGCUCCAGACAAGAAGACGCAGUCGUGCAUGCUUCUGGCCAACACGUACGCUGCCUGGUGGCUAUGGACCCGUGCCAUCGGCCUUGCUACUCGGGCAGGAGACGAGAGAGCGCUCGAAGAGUUUUUCGAGGAACUUGAGCAAGAACAAGAAGCUAUUGAGAUAUCGUGACGAGUUUCACGACUUUUUCGUUUCAAACUGCGAGAAUCGCUGCUGUGCUCCAGAUUCUCUCGACAGCGUCGUCGAUCCGGGAGAGAAAAUUCUAAGACUUGGGAGAGAGAACAGCUUUCUCUUCUCAAAAGUUUUGCGCUGCCUAUUGUUUAUCUCCAGAAUCUAAUCACCUGGAAAACAAACUUAUUGUUUAUCGAGAUGGAA